UACAGAGGUGGCAAGCGUUGUUCGGAUUUACUGGGCGUAAAGGGCGCGCAGGCGGCGCAUUUUGUCAGGCGUGAAAGCCCCGGGCUUAACCUGGGAACUGCGUUUGAUACGGAUGGGCUAGAGUUCGGGAGAGGAGAGUGGAAUUCCCAGUGUAGAGGUGAAAUUCGUAGAUAUUGGGAGGAACACCGGUGGCGAAGGCGGCUCUCUGGACCGAGACUGACGCUGAGGCGCGAAAGCGUGGGGAGCAAACAGG
rnacentral:rRNA from 1 species